rnacentral:rRNA from 1 species
UACGUAGGUGGCGAGCGUUGUCCGGAUCUACUGGGCGUAAAGGGAGCGUAGGCGGACUUUUAAGUGAGAUGUGAAAUACCCGGGCUCAACUUGGGUGCUGCAUUUCAAACUGGAAGUCUAGAGUGCAGGAGAGGAGAAUGGAAUUCCUAGUGUAGCGGUGAAAUGCGUAGAGAUUAGGAAGAACACCAGUGGCGAAGGCGAUUCUCUGGACUGUAACUGACGCUGAGGCACGAAAGCGUGGGGAGCAAACAGGAUUAGAUA